CUCCUCUCGGAUAUCCUGUUGUGGCCCUGUGUCAUGAAGACCCUGCAGCUUUGGAUCUGCAGGACCGGCUCCUUCAUGAGCUCCAGCAGUUCAUAGACUGGGACCUCCAGCAGAAGGUGUGGCCCAGAUUAAAGGUGAGGAUCACCGCACCUGGAUCUGGAACUUGCUUUGUCCCAGGCCGGUUUUGAACUCGGAGAUCUGCUUGCCUGGGCAAACAUGGAAAGCAUGUACUAAUUUGCCUGGAGCUAAGCUUUUCAUGGCCACUAUCAGGAUUUCCAUGUCAAGAUCUAGAUCAGAAACCUGUGUCUUCCAGCCUUAAGGUCUGGAUCGCAGGUGUGCCCUCCAUUUCUGGAUUGUAGUUCAUUCCAGAGGAAGUCAAGAUGACAACCAGGAAGAGCCAUGACACUGGCCCACCAUCAUGUGAAGAACAUUCAUCACGUGCUGCUGCCACCAUGAAUGGAAGUACUCUGUCCUGCUUCCCUCACCUCCCAUGAUGGACUGAAACCCUGAGCCUAAACAAACAGUCCCUCCCUUAAGUAGAUUCUGUAUGGAUGCUGUCGGGUAUUUGUGUCCUGGAUUAAAACAGUAGUGAAUGAGGCCUCUGUCUAGAGAAUUUUCUGGAUUGUUAGCCUGUAUCUCCAUGAGAAAUAACUUGUCUGACUGCACACCAAUGAUGAC
rnacentral:lncRNA from 1 species